rnacentral:rRNA from 1 species
AGCAGCCGCGGUAAUUCCAGCUCCAAUAGCGUAUAUUAAAGUUGUUGCAGUUAAAAGCUCGUAGUUGAAUUUCGGGAUCAAUUUGCUGGUCGGAACCUCUGGUACGUACUGGUAUUAUUGAUUUCUUUCAUUCUGAUAGAUCAUGGAUGUCAUUAAUUUGAUGACUUUGAGGAAUCGGAACUUUUACUUUGAAAAAUUAGAGUGUUUAAAGCAGGCUUAUCAGGCUUGAAUACAUUAGCAUGGAAUAAUGAAAUAGGACGUUCGAUCCUAUUUUGUUGGUUUCUAGGAUUGACGUAAUGAUUAAUAGGGAUAGUUGGGGGCAUUAGUAUUCAAUUGUCAGAGGCGAAAUUCUUGGAUUUAUUGAAGACUAACUACUGCGAAAGCAUUUGCCAAGGAUGUUUUCAUUAAUCAAGAACGAAAGUUAGGGGAUCGAAGACGAUCAGAUACCGUCGUAGUCUUAACCAUAAACUAUGCCGACUAGGGAUCGGAUGAUGUUAAUUUUUUAAUGACUCAUUCGGCG